rnacentral:misc_RNA from 1 species
UGGUUCUGGCAUCGAUGAAGAACGCAGCGAAAUGCGAUAAGUAAUGCGAAUUGCAGAAUCCGUGAGUCAUCGAAUCUUUGAACGCAUAUUGCGCCCUCUGGUAUUCCGGGGGGCAUGCCUGUUCGAGCGUCAUUAUCACCCCUCAAGCUCGGCUUGUUGUUGGACGCCGGCUGCGCCGCAAGGCCCCGCCCGUCUCAAAGAUAAUGACGGCGUCUGUGAGGACUCCUGUACACUGAGCUUUCGGGCACGUACUAGGCUAGAACUCCAGGCCCGGUCUUCAAUCCCAGCCCUCGCGGGCCGGGACACUUUCACAAGGUUGACCUCGGAUCAGGUAGGAAUUCCCGCUGA